GGUGCCUUCGGGAACUGUGAGACAGGUGCUGCAUGGCUGUCGUCAGCUCGUGUUGUGAAAUGUUGGGUUAAGUCCCGCAACGAGCGCAACCCUUAUCCUUUGUUGCCAGCACGUAAUGGUGGGAACUCAAAGGAGACUGCCGGUGAUAAACCGGAGGAAGGUGGGGAUGACGUCAAGUCAUCAUGGCCCUUACGAGUAGGGCUACACACGUGCUACAAUGGCAUAUACAAAGAGAAGCGAACUCGCGAGAGCAAGCGGACCUCAUAAAGUAUGUCGUAGUCCGGAUCGGAGUCUGCAACUCGACUCCGUGAAGUCGGAAUCGCUAGUAAUCGUAGAUCAGAAUGCUACGGUGAAUACGUUCCCGGG
rnacentral:rRNA from 1 species